ACAAACACCCUUCCCUCCUCCUCCGUCUCACCUGACAUCAGCAAACGCAGCGUAUUAAGCAACGGCUCGUAGAGAUGAUCGUGAUACACUACAUCCGAGGCUAGAAUAAGAUCAAACUCCCGCCCAAUCUUCUCUACGUCCGCCGCUUCCCCCCACCUCAGCGCCGCCACGUGGACCACCCCACCGUUAGCUGCCAAUACGGAGGCGUUUGCUUCCACGUUGAAUAACAGGUUAGGAAUGACGUGGGGGAGGUCAGUUACCGUGACGGUAGCCCCGAGCGUGGCUGCGGCGGCGAUUCCGACGAUGCCGGUCCCGGAGCCGAGCUCGAGGAUUCUGUGAGGGCGCUGCCUCGAGUCCAACGCCGAGAGUGUGGGGCCCAGUGGUCCGGUGCUGGGGUCACGACGGUGCCCGUCGAGGAGCGUGAGGAGCGUGGUGGCGGGCGGCCAGAGCUGGAAGGAGAUGCCUUGAGACCGGAGCUCCCGGAUGAAGACGACCGAGUUGAUGGAAUGGAGGCAAUGCUGAGUCGAUGGAAGGAGCGUAGCGGUCUCGGGGAUCAGUAUUGCAUCGUCUUCAGAAUCACCGCCUUCUUGAGCCGCCAUUGAUGAUGCGCCGCCGCCGAUGAUUCUGGUUGCGACUCGACUUCAAGUGCACUAGGGUCUAGGGCUUGUUUGGCUCACUAUUUGAUAU
rnacentral:sRNA from 1 species